GGAGCUUGCUCCUUGAUUCAGCGGCGGACGGGUGAGUAAUGCCUAGGAAUCUGCCUGGUAGUGGGGGACAACGUUUCGAAAGGAACGCUAAUACCGCAUACGUCCUACGGGAGAAAGCAGGGGACCUUCGGGCCUUGCGCUAUCAGAUGAGCCUAGGUCGGAUUAGCUAGUUGGUGAGGUAAUGGCUCACCAAGGCGACGAUCCGUAACUGGUCUGAGAGGAUGAUCAGUCACACUGGAACUGAGACACGGUCCAGACUCCUACGGGAGGCAGCAGUGGGGAAUAUUGGACAAUGGGCGAAAGCCUGAUCCAGCCAUGCCGCGUGUGUGAAGAAGGUCUUCGGAUUGUAAAGCACUUUAAGUUGGGAGGAAGGGUUGUAGAUUAAUACUCUGCAAUUUUGACGUUACCGACAGAAUAAGCACCGGCUAACUCUGUGCCAGCAGCCGCGGUAAUACAGAGGGUGCAAGCGUUAAUCGGAAUUACUGGGCGUAAAGCGCGCGUAGGUGGUUCGUUAAGUUGGAUGUGAAAUCCCCGGGCUCAACCUGGGAACUGCAUCCAAAACUGGCGAGCUAGAGUAUGGUAGAGGGUGGUGGAAUUUCCUGUGUAGCGGUGAAAUGCGUAGAUAUAGGAAGGAACACCAGUGGCGAAGGCGACCACCUGGACUGAUACUGACACUGAGGUGCGAAAGCGUGGGGAGCAAACAGGAUUUAGAUACCCUGGUAGUCCACGCCGUAAACGAUGUCAACUAGCCGUUGGGAGCCUUGAGCUCUUAGUGGCGCAGCUAACGCAUUAA
rnacentral:rRNA from 1 species